rnacentral:rRNA from 1 species
UACGAGAGGCCCAAACGUUAUUCGGAUUUACUGGGCUUAAAGAGUCCGUAGGCGGCGCGACAAGUGGGGUGUGAAAGCCCUCGGCUCAACCGAGGAACUGCGCUCCAAACUGUCGUGCUAGAGGAACCUAGAGGUGAGCAGAACUGAUGGUGGAGCGGUGAAAUGCGUUGAUAUCAUCAGGAAUACCGGAGGCGAAGGCGGCUCACUGGGAGUUUUCUGACGCUGAGGGACGAAAGCCAGGGUAGCGAACGGG